rnacentral:lncRNA from 12 species
CUUACCUACUCCAAACAUGGGGGAGUAUUUGUGUAUAUAUCCAUGUGUUCUUUAAGCACAUGUGAUGCCACUCAAGGUUGGGGUGGGAGAUGAUUAGUAUGUCAAUUAAGGAGUAUUUCAGGAGACCAAGGCUGCCCCUGGCACCUCUCAGUGUGACAGAGAGAUAUAGAAGAGUCAUGGGGAGUUUACCUAGUUUGGUCAAAACAUGCCUCCUGGUACUAAUGAACAAGGGCUUAGGAGUCAGGAGGCGGGGUUCAAAUCCUUGCUCAGCUACUAUGUGACCUUGGCCAACUUCCUUCCAUGGCUCUCCAUUUCCUCAUCUAUCAAACAAAGAUUGUACAAACAAGUCCAACAAACCCACCAUUAUGCCCAUCCUGGCCCAUGAAAGCAAGCCCUCUGCUCUAGCCAAAAUUGGAAUCAUCAGCCUGAGACCCUGCUCCCCCUCCUAUGGCCCUAUCCUAUCCUGAUCAGACUGCACUAGAAUUCUCCCUGGUUCUGAGCUCUGCACUUCUUACCCUGUCCCGGAUGACUGCUCUUCCACCCCCUGAUUUCUCCGUCCUCCUGAUUUUCCUGAGGAGAUGGACCAGCUCUUUGGAGCUGGGGUAUGGGAUCCUCUCUGGCAGCGUGCUGCAGGACAAAGGUGGCUUCAACAGAAGUGCAGUAACUGCUGCUGUGACACAAAGUGCCUUCAGCAAACAUCAAACGUGGUUAAUGCCUUCACCAAGGGGAACAGCUGCCUGUGGAAUAAUAGACCAGCCAGGUGGGAUUGCCAGUGACAGCUUUGGCCUCAUGAUACAUAAGCUAUAAUCUGGCCCAGGUGAGCUUCACUUGGAAUAAAAUGAAUGUAUUGAAAUGCA